GACGAACGCUGGCGGCGCGCUUAACACAUGCAAGUCGAACGGAAAGGCCUGCUUUCCCUUGUGGAUUGCGGGUACUCGAGUGGCGAACGGGUGAGUAACACGUGAGUGAUCUGCCCCCAACUUGGGUAUAAGCCUGGGAAACUGGGUCUAAUUCCCGAUAGGACUGCAGGGUGGUGCCUGUGGUGGAAAACGAUUUUCUAGUGGUUGGGGAUGAGCUCGCGGCCUAUCAGCUUGUUGGUGGGGUAAUGGCCUACCAAGGCGGCGACGGGUAGCCGGCCUGAGAGGGUGGACGGCCACAGUGGGACUGAGAUACGGCCCCGACUCCUACGGGAGGCAGCAGUGGGGAAUAUUGCACCAUGGGCGGAAGCCUGAUGCAGCGACGCCGCGUGGGGGAUGACGGCCUUCGGGUUGUAAACUCCUUUCGACCGCGAGGAAGCCACCUGGUUGGAAGGGUGGUGACGGUAGUGGUAGAAGAAGCACCGGCUAACUACGUG
rnacentral:rRNA from 1 species